GAUGAACGCUGGCGGCGUGCCUAAUACAUGCAAGUCGAGCGAACAGAUGAGGAGCUUGCUCCUCUGACGUUAGCGGCGGACGGGUGAGUAACACGUGGAUAACCUACCUAUAAGACUGGGAUAACUUCGGGAAACCGGAGCUAAUACCGGAUAAUAUAUUGAACCGCAUGGUUCAAUAGUGAAAGACGGUUUUGCUGUCACUUAUAGAUGGAUCCGCGCCGCAUUAGCUAGUUGGUAAGGUAACGGCUUACCAAGGCAACGAUGCGUAGCCGACCUGAGAGGGUGAUCGGCCACACUGGAACUGAGACACGGUCCAGACUCCUACGGGAGGCAGCAGUAGGGAAUCUUCCGCAAUGGGCGAAAGCCUGACGGAGCCACGCCGCGUGAGUGAUGAAGGUUUUCGGAUCGUAAAACUCUGUUAUUAGGGAAGAACAAAUGUGUAAGUAACUAUGCACGUCUUGACGGUACCUAAUCAGAAAGCCACGGCUAACUACGUG
rnacentral:rRNA from 1 species